CGCGGCCUAUCAGCUUGUUGGUGAGGUAAUGGCUCACCAAGGCUUCGACGGGUAGCCGGCCUGAGAGGACGACCGGCCACACUGGGACUGAGAUACGGCCCAGACUCCUACGGGAGGCAGCAGUGGGGAAUAUUGCACAAUGGGCGCAAGCCUGAUGCAGCAACGCCGCGUGCGGGAUGACGGCCUUCGGGUUGUAAACCGCUCUCAGUAGGGACGAAGCUAACGUGACGGUACCUACAGAAGAAGGACCGGCUAACUACGUGCCAGCAGCCGCGGUGAUACGUAGGGUCCGAGCGUUGUCCGGAAUUAUUGGGCGUAAAGGGCUUGUAGGCGGUCCGUCGCGUCAGGAGUGAAAACUCGGGGCUUAACCCCGAGCCUGCUUUUGAUACGGGCGGACUAGAGGGAUGCAGGGGAGAACGGAAUUCCUGGUGGAGCGGUGGAAUGCGCAGAUAUCAGGAGGAACACCGGUGGCGAAGGCGGUUCUCUGGGCAUCACCUGACGCUGAGAAGCGAAAGCGUGGGGAGCAAACAGGCUUAGAUACCCUGGUAGUCCACGCCGUAAACGGUGGGCACUAGGUGUGGGGGACAUUCCACGUUCUCCGUGCCGAAGCUAACGCAUUAAGUGCCCCGCCUGGGGAGUACGG
rnacentral:rRNA from 1 species